CAGUAGCCACGGUAACACGAAGGUCCCGAGCGUUGUUCGGAAUCACUGGGCGUAAAGGGAGCGUAGGCGGCGUGGUAAGUCAAAUGUGACAUCCCGGGGCUCAACCCCGGAACUGCAUCCGAUACUGCCGUGCUAGAGGAUUGGAGAGGUAGCUGGAAUUCUUGGUGUAGCAGUGAAAUGCGUGGAGAUCAAGAGGAACACUCGUGGCGAAAGCGAGCUACUGGACAAUAUCUGACGCUGAGGCUCGAAGGCCAGGGUAGCGAAAGGGAUUAGAUACCCCAGUAGUCCCUGUCUCUUAUAC
rnacentral:rRNA from 1 species